UCUGGGCAUAAUUCCAUCUCAAACGAAAGUGGGCGGAAGAGCUAUGAAAACAAUUUUGGAAAGGUGGCCGGCUGUGAAUCAACACCUUGGGGAAUAUUUAGGAACCUCACUGAAUUUGCCUGUGGACAUAGCAACUGAGUGUCCCAGCGCACAUGUAAUAUCGUGAAGUUGUCCUGUCCCGAAUUCUGAUGCACAAGAAAGGGCAGGAGCAGAGGCCUGCGUGGUUCGUGGAUCGCCCAAGUGCCAGUUCUGCCUUUGCUCUGAUGCCAAACCAAGGAGGUUAUAAAAAAGACCUGGCACUGCACUGGAGGUUGUGGGACCUUCUGCUAACAUUUGGCCUGGGGAUGCUGGAAGAUCCCUAACCCUUGCUGCUGGCCUCGCAGGCAGGAUGUCCAUACGGAGGGUCGCCUGCUGCAGCGGGAGCCGGCCGACCACACACUCGGGCUGUGCAUUCAACAUCGCCUCCGUCAACUGUGCCCUGGAAGUGACUUUUGAGUCGACAAACCAAAAACUCAACAGCCAGUAAGAAACUAAGCUACUGUAAUAUACAGAAAAUACCCACAUCACAUACAGAGACAGAGCGUUACCUGGGUAUAUUAAACUAAACUCAGUCUUUACAGCUUCCAUCGUAUGCCAGCUCUGUCCGUUACACAACUUGAGGACAGUCUUGGUCUCUGCCCUUGAAAUGAGAUUGGUUGAAAGAAUAUUCUGUUGUUUAAAAUAUUUUAAUUUCCUGUAAUAGCAUCGCCAU
rnacentral:lncRNA from 1 species